rnacentral:rRNA from 1 species
CCUACGGGUGGCAGCAGUGAGGAAUAUUGGUCAAUGGACGAGAGUCUGAACCAGCCAAGUAGCGUGAAGGAUGACUGCCCUAUGGGUUGUAAACUUCUUUUAUAAAGGAAUAAAACGAGGCACGUGUGCCUUUUUGCAUGUACUUGAUGAAUAAGGAUCGGCUAACUCCGUGCAAGCAGCCGCGGUAAUACGGAGGAUCCGAGCGUUAUCCGGAUUUAUUGGGUUUAAAGGGAGCGUAGAUGGGUUGUUAAGUCAGUUGUGAAGGUUUGCGGCUCAACCGUAAAAUUGCAAUUGAUACUGGCAGUCUUGAGUACAGUUGAGGUAGGCGGAAUUCGUGGUGUAGCGGUGAAAUGCUUAGAUAUCACGAAGAACCCCGAUUGCGAAGGCAGCUUACUAAACUGUGACUGACAUUGAUGCUCGAAAGUGUGGGUAUCAAACAGGAUUAGAUACCCGAGUAGUC